AGAGUUUGAUCCUGGCUCAGGAUGAACGCUGGCGGCGUGCCUAAUACAUGCAAGUCGAGCGAACAGAUGAGGAGCUUGCUCCUUUGACGUUAGCGGCGGACGGGUGAGUAACACGUGGGUAACCUACCUAUAAGACUGGGAUAACUUCGGGAAACCGGAGCUAAUACCGGAUAAUAUUUCGAACCGCAUGGUUCGAUAGUGAAAGAUGGCUCUGCUAUCACUUAUAGAUGGACCUGCGCCGUAUUAGCUAGUUGGUAAGGUAACGGCUUACCAAGGCAACGAUACGUAGCCGACCUGAGAGGGUGAUCGGCCACACUGGAACUGAGACACGGUCCAGACUCCUACGGGAGGCAGCAGUAGGGAAUCUUCCGCAAUGGGCGGAAGCCUGACGGAGCAACGCCGCGUGAGUGAUGAAGGUCUUCGGAUCGUAAAACUCUGUUAUUAGGGAAGGACAAACGUGUAAGUAACUGUGCACGUCUUGACGGUACCUAAUCAGAAAACCACGGCUAACUACGUGCCAGCAGCCGCGGUAAUACGUAGGUGGCAAGCGUUAUCCGGAAUUAUUGGGCGUAAAGCGCGCGUAGGCGGUUUUUUAAGUCUGAUGUGAAAGCCCACGGCUCAACCGUGGAGGGUCAUUGGAAACUGGAAAACUUGAGUGCAGAAGAGGAAAGUGGAAUUCCAUGUGUAGCGGUGAAAUGCGCAGAGAUAUGGAGGAACACCAGUGGCGAAGGCGACUUUCUGGUCUGUAACUGACGCUGAUGUGCGAAAGCGUGGGGAUCAAACAGGAUUAGAUACCCUGGUAGUCCACGCCGUAAACGAUGAGUGCUAAGUGUUAGGGGGUUUCCGCCCCUUAGUGCUGCAGCUAACGCAUUAAGCACUCCGCCUGGGGAGUACGACCGCAAGGUUGAAACUCAAAGGAAUUGACGG
rnacentral:rRNA from 1 species